AGAGAUUGCUCUCGGGAAGAGGAGACAGAGACCUCUGUUUAUUGGAUAUGAAGCUUCGCUGAAUCUUCGAAAUAUCAGGAUUUGGUUUCUGAGUGGAGGAAGCUGAUGUAGGCCUCGAUUUCAAGCCAGAAUUACGAGAUGGUUCGACGAUGAAAGGAACUGAGUUUAAUCUUAAUGAGUCCCAUCGAUGAUAAACUGUGUGAGAAAACUUCGUUCUCCUAAG
rnacentral:misc_RNA from 1 species